AUGGGCUCCAGUCUCCUCUGCUGGGCAGCCCUCUGCCUGUUGGGGGCAGGCCCAGUGGAUUCUGGAGUCACACAGACCCCGAGACACCUGAUCAAAGUACGAGGCCAGCAGGUGAUGCUGAACUGUUACCCCAUCCCUGGACACAAUACAGUGUCCUGGUACCAGCAGGCCCGGGGCCAGGGCCCCCAGUUCCUCAUUCAGUAUUACAACGAGAAAGAGAACUACAAAGGUGACGUCCCUGAGGGCUUCUCGGGCCGACAGUUCUCUGACUACCACUCAGAAGUGAACCUCAGUGCCCUGCACUCGGCCAUGUUCCUCUGCUCUUCUGGGUUCUCCUCAGGACAGAGCAGGCCAGGCCACCUGACCUCACAAAGGAAGGCUUUCCCGUUGCCCCACAACCCCUCCGUAGCCCAGAUCCAUGUUCCUUCAGUGCCUCACUUCCCUCAGCCAGUGGACAGAGCUCGCUGGCUAUGCAGGACUGAGGGGCUUCUAAGUCAGGUCCCUGAGGGCACAGGGGCCACAGGUGGUGUGCAAGGGGUGACAUCAGAGCAGUGA